rnacentral:lncRNA from 1 species
AGAGCAUCAGCCCUGGGCAUUGACCUGGACUACACUGAGUGGUCCCUCUGGGGUACAAAUGUCUCCUGUUCUCUGUGCUGUUUGACCAGGAGCUAGAAGGGAUGCCAGCAAGUCAUCAGGAAAAACCAUGUUCUCACAGACCCAGAGCUGCCUGAAGGUUUUAUCCCACAGUGAGAUGUGUGAAGGAGAAAGAACCUAACAUAUAAGGCAUUGGAAAGCAACUCACUGCUGUCCUUGACUGUGCUGUGGGUGUCCACUGUCACCUCUGCUCCCUCUCUGCAUACCUGUGGUGUGGAACAAGAUGCAUUUGUCUGAAAGUUCUGAUCACCUGUUACUCCCAAGGACAUCCAUUAUCCCAGCGUGUGUGGAGCAGGCCACUAGAUGGAAGUGUUUGCUCAGUAAGCUGAGAUGACAAGCUAAAUAAAAGAUGAGAAAGUCCUGGGUAUCCUGGUUUG